rnacentral:rRNA from 1 species
CGGGUGCACUGAUCCGGCCGGGCCUUUCCCUCUGUGGAACCCCAUGGCCUUCACUGGCUGUGCGGGGGAAACAGGACUUUUACUGUGAAAAAAUUAGAGUGCUCCAGGCAGGCCUAUGCUCGAAUACAUUAGCAUGGAAUAAUAGAAUAGGACGCGUGGUUCUAUUUUGUUGGUUUCUAGGACCGCCGUAAUGAUUAAUAGGGACAGUCGGGGGCAUCAGUAUUCAAUUGUCAGAGGUGAAAUUCUUGGAUCUAUUGAAGACUAACUACUGCGAAAGCAUUUGCCAAGGAUGUUUUCAUUGAUAAGGAACGAAAGUUAGGGGAUCGAAGACGAUCAGAUACCGUCGUAGUCUUAACUAUAAACUAUGCCGACUAGGGAUCGGACGAUGUUAUUUCUUGACGCGUUCGGCACCUUUCGAGAAAUCAAAGUGCUUGGGCUCCAGGGGGAGUAUGGUCGCAAGGCUGAAACUUAAAGAAAUUGACGGAAGGGCACCACCAGGGGUGGAACCUGCGGCUUAAUUUGACUCAACACGGGGAAACUCACCAGGUCCAGACACAGUGAGGAUUGACAGAUUGAGAGCUCUUUCUUGAUUCUGUGGGUGGUGGUGCAUGGCCGUCCUUAGUUGGUGGAGUGAUUUGUCUGCUUAAUUGCGAUAACGAACGAGACCUUAACCUGCUAAAUAGCCCGUACUGCUCUGGCAGUUCGCCGGCUUCUUAGAGGGACUAUCGG